AUUCCAGCUCCAAUAGCGUAUAUUAAAGUUGUUGCAGUUAAAAAGCUCGUAGUCGGAUUUCGGGUCGGCCGAGCGGUCUGCCGAUGGGUAUGCACUGUUUGGCGCGGCCUUCUUUCCGGAGACCGCGGCUACUCUUAACUGAGCGGGCGUGGGAGACGGAUCGUUUACUUUGAAAAAAUCAGAGUGUUUCUAGCAGGCAGCUCGCUCUUGCAUAGGUUAGCAUGGGAUAAUUUAAUAGGACUCUGGUGCUAUUUUGUUGGUUUCGAACACCGGGGUAAUGAUUAAAAGGGGCAGUCAGGGGCACUCGUAUUCCGUCGAGAGAGGUGAAAUUCUCAGACCAAUGGAAGACGAACCACUGCGAAAGCAUUUGCCAGGGAUGUUUUCAUUA
rnacentral:rRNA from 1 species